AAAGAAGCUUGCCACCCUGUGUGCCCCCGGGUCGUUCUUGAUGGUGAGAGCGACAAGUGGUGCCGAAACCCGGGAACGCUUACGUGGUGGGAGGACACACGGGAGCUAGGCAACAAUAAGGAGAACACACCUGGCCUUCUGACAACCUGGAGAAUUCAUGACGAUGGAGCAACAUACACCCUGGUCUCGACAAGGCCAGGGGCAGAAAAGAUGGCACAACUCAAGUGUCCCACAAAGGAUGGAUGGACAAACACGAUGGAGUACACCCAGACAACCAGAUGUGAUUCGGCCACAGAAAUGAAUGGAGUGCUGACCAGAGCUACAACCUCAACGAACCUUGAAGACGUUACCCCCAAGUAAAAGGAGCCAGACACACGAGACCUCAUACCCUAUGAUUCUGCUCACAUGAAAUACCUGGAACGGGCAAGUUCAUUGAGACGGGAAGUAGUUUCAAGGUUACUGGGGACUGGGGGAAGGAGGCGAGCAGGGAGUUGUUAGCUAAGGGGUACCAAGUUUCCGUCUGGAGUGAAGAAAAAGUUCUGGACAUAAAUAGUGGUAAUGGUCGUACGAUAUUAUGAGUGUACGCGAUGGCCCUCAAUGAUAUACCCACAAAUGGUUAAAAUGGCAAAUUUUAUGAUAUCUGUAUUUUAUUGCAAUUUUAAGAAUUUUAAUAUACUUGAAAUCAUCGACUUGUCCACCUUAAGUGUGUGUGCUAUAAAGUGUAUGAGUUAUAUCUCAAUAAAGCUGUU